GCGGGCGUAGCUCAAUGGUAGAGCCCCAGCCUUCCAAGCUGGUUAUGCGGGUUCGAUCCCCGCCGCCCGCU
rnacentral:tRNA from 1 species